rnacentral:misc_RNA from 1 species
GUGAAUCAUCGAAUCUUUGAACGCAUAUUGCGCCCUUUGGUAUUCCGAAGGGCAUGCCUGUUCGAGCGUCAUUAUCACCCCUCAAGCCCCCGGGCUUUGGUGUUGGACGGUUUGGUCUUGGGUUUGACGAGACCCCUCCUAAAAUCAACGACGGCGGCCUGUGCGACCCCCGGUACACUGAGCUUCUUAACUGAGCACGUAUCGGCCUAGACAGGACCCGGUCUUCUUCCUUAACCGGAAAAUCUCUCUCAAGGUUGACCUCGGAUCAGGUAGGGAUACCCGCUGAACUUAAGCAUAUCAAUAAGCGGAGGA